rnacentral:rRNA from 1 species
UGCGUAGGCGGAUCAAUAAGUCAGUGGUGAAAUCUUGCAGCUUAACUGUAAAACUGCCAUUGAUACUGCGUUUCUUGAGUAUAGUUGAGGUAGGCGGAAUGUGUAAUGUAGCGGUGAAAUGCUUAGAUAUUACACAGAACACCGAUUGCGUAGGCAGCUUACUAAGCUAUAACUGACGCUGAGGCACGAAAGCGUGGGGAGCGAACAGGAUUAGAUACCCUGGUAGUCC